AUUGAACGCUGGCGGCAUGCCUUACACAUGCAAGUCGAACGGCAGCACGGGAGCAAUCCUGGUGGCGAGUGGCGAACGGGUGAGUAAUAUAUCGGAACGUGCCCAGUCGUGGGGGAUAACGUAGCGAAAGCUACGCUAAUGCCGCAUACGAUCUACGGAUGAAAGCGGGGGAUCGCAAGACCUCGCGCGAUUGGAGCGGCCGAUAUCAGAUUAGGUAGUUGGUGAGGUAAAGGCUCACCAAGCCGACGAUCUGUAGCUGGUCUGAGAGGACGACCAGCCACACUGGGACUGAGACACGGCCCAGACUCCUACGGGAGGCAGCAGUGGGGAAUUUUGGACAAUGGGCGCAAGCCUGAUCCAGCAAUGCCGCGUGCAGGAUGAAGGCCUUCGGGUUGUAAACUGCUUUUGUACGGAACGAAACGGUGAGCUCUAAUACAGUUUGCUAAUGACGGUACCGUAAGAAUAAGCACCGGCUAACUACGUG
rnacentral:rRNA from 1 species